rnacentral:lncRNA from 1 species
GGGCGGCCACCGGGCGUCGCGGCCGCCUGCGGCAUCAGCAUUCCGGCGGCGCCGGCGGCCGCUGUCCUCGCGCGACCCCAGCCCGUCCAGAGCGCGCCCCGGCACCAACCCUCGGGGCGAGGCGAGCGCAGCCCCCGCGGGCCAGCAAGGCGUGCUGAUGGACCAGACCUGCGGGAGCUAACUCGACAGGCCUCCAGCUGCCAGAGAUUUGAGAUGCGACAGAGGAACACAGUCUCUGACCCCAGCAAUCAGCCUGGGCUUGGGACCAGCUCUGGCCAAAGGGCUCUGAGAGGAAGAGAUGUGACUCGCUCCUAGACUACAGCCAUUGACACCACCAGACUCGGCAGUGCCAUCUCUCUCCUGUGGCACGUGUGGAGGCCGAGCCUGAAAAUGGUAACCUGGACCCACGCUGCUCCAGUGGAGGCAUUCCCCUGGAGAGUUACUCAGGUCCCCAGCAAACUUUGCAGGAGCCGUAAAAGCAAGAAAUAAAGCCUAUGUUGGGUUUAGCCAGUAAGAGGGCGCCUUCGUUACUGCAACGGAACUUAGGCUGUAUGACAUCACAUGUUCUCACUCACAUGUGAGAGCUAAAAAAAGUGGAUUUCAUGGAGAGUGGAAUGGUAGUUACUAGAGCUGGGAAGGGCAGGAGGGAGGAAGAGAAGUUGGCCAAUGGCUACAAAAUACAGUUAGAUGGAAGGAGUAAGUUCUAGUAUUCAAUAGUCUAGUGUGGAGACUAUAGCUAACAAGUUAUUGUAUAUUUCAAGAUAGCUAGAUAAGAAGAACUGGAAUGUUCCCAACACAAAGAAAAGAUAAAUAUUUGACAUGAAGGAUGUUCCAAUUACUCUGAUUUGAUCAUUACACAUUGUAUACAGGUAUCCAAAUAUCACAGGUACUCCCAAAGUAUGCACAGCUACUACAUAUCAACUUUUAAUAUUACACCUGAAAGCAAUUUCAAGAGAGGCUUCAUUGAGAAGGUAAAAUUUGCGAGGGGAAUUGAAGGAGAGGAAGGAGUUGAUGAGACCAAGACAUGGGAGAGUGUCUCUCAGGAAGAGAAGCAGCCAGGGCAUCCCGGCCAUUUGUGUACCUUCAUUUACGAAGUGUCUGUCCAAACCUUUUGUCCAACUCUUUAAUUGUUGCAUGUGUUAUAUUAUUGGGUUGUAAGAAUUUUAAAUAUAUUCUGGAUAUAACUCUUUAUCAGAUGUAUGUAUUGCAAAUAUUUUCUCCCUGUCUGUGACUUGUCUUUUCAUUUUCUCAACAGGUCUUUUCAAAUGCAGACAUUGUUUAUUUUGAUCAUGUCCAUUUUUGUCUGUUUUAACUUUUAUGCUGGUAGGAUUGUUGUUCUCUGUUAAGAAACCUUUGUCUUCCUCAAGGUAACAAAGUGUCUAGAAGUUUUACAGUUUUGACUUUGUUUAGGCCUGUGGUCCAUCUUAAGUUAAUUUUUCUGUAUUGUCUAAGGUAGGGUUGAAGUUUAUAUCUUUAUGGAUGAAUAGCUAAUUAUUCCAGCACCAUUUGUUUUAAAGUCUUCCCUUUUCCCAAUAAUUUAGCUUGGCCCUUCUUUCAAAAGAAAAUUGAAAAUACAUACAUCAUAUAAAGACUUAUUAUA